UUUUUUUUCUGCCUUCAGACUCAAACUAAACGUCAGCUUUUCCCGGCUCUCAAGCCUGCUGGUCCCUGAACUAAAACUCACAUUAUCAACUCUACUGGUUCUUAGGCCUUUGGAGUCAGACUGGAACUACAGCAUUGACUCUUCCGGAACUCCAGCUUACUGACUACAGAUCUUGGAACUUUUCAGCUUCCACAACCAUGCUUUGGUAUCAGGAUGAUGCUGGCCUCAUAAAAUGAGUCAGGGAGGAUUCCCUCUUUUUCUAUUGAUUGGAAUAGUUUCAGAAGGAAUGGUACCAGCUCCUCUUUGUACCUCUGGUAGAAUUCAGCUGUGAAUCCAUCUGGUCCUGGAGUUUUUUUGAAUGAAAGCCAAGCAUAUUCCAUCAUUUCCUAAAACCAAGAUAGAGCACAUAUGGGAACUUGUGAAAUAAGGAUGCCCUGCGGUUGUUUUCAGGACUGAAGACAACAGCUCCACGAUGUAUCUUUGCAUAAGAAUACACUUGUAUAAUAAGUUUUUUUUUUUAGAGAAAUUGCAUGUAUCUGCCUUAUAAACUUUUUCAUUCAUUCAUUUUCUUUCUUCCUAAUCUGUUCCAUAAAGCAAAUUUCUAACUUAUUGUUAAUCAAAAUAAUUAUUGAAAUAAUUAGUACUUUCAUAUGAUAAAGAUUAUUUUAAUCUGCAGCUACAAAAUAUGUAACUCAUUAAUAUUUAAACAAUCACAAUUUUCUAUUAACAUUAUAGCAUUUUAUCUACUACUAGAUCAGGAAUUAGCUAUUUUUUGUAAAAUUUCUUUGUAAGGCAAAGCAAUAGUAUUGUAUAUACUUUCCUAAAGAUUGUCAAGUUCAGUUUUGCUUAAAUUUAACAGUACAUGUGACACUUUCUGUUUGAAGAAUAAGUUGGUUUUAAGUUUAUACCAAACAAAAGCAUCUCUUUUGUUUUGCAAAAUCUGAAACUUUGAUCUUUCUAGUUGUGACUUCUUGUAAAUAUGUUUUAUAUAAAUAUUCUAUGAAUUGGUUAUUAACAAGGUAAAGAAAGAUUGAUAUGUAAGCUGAUUCUUAAACAUUAAUUUUCUGGAGAUAAACUUUUUUAAAAUUAUGCUUUAAAAAUAUUUUAACACAUGUUAUCAAAAAGGAACUGAAAUAUCUUAGGCAUAAAA
ensembl:lncRNA LINC01322 long intergenic non-protein coding RNA 1322